rnacentral:rRNA from 1 species
UACGAAGGGGGCUAGCGUUGUUCGGAAUUACUGGGCGUAAAGCGCACGUAGGCGGAUAUUUACGUCAGGGGUGAAAUCCCAGAGCUCAACUCUGGAACUGCCUUUGAUACUGGGUAUCUCGAGUAUGGAAGAGGUGAGUGGAAUUCCGAGUGUAGAGGUGAAAUUCGUAGAUAUUCGGAGGAACACCAGUGGCGAAGGCGGCUCACUGGUCCAUGACUGACGCUGAGGUGCGAAAGCGUGGGGAGCAAACAGG